rnacentral:rRNA from 1 species
CACGCCGUAAACGAUGAAUACUAGGUGUGGGGGUUGUCAUGACCUCCGUGCCGCCGCUAACGCAUUAAGUAUUCCGCCUGGGGAGNCAACGCGAAGAACCUUACCUAGACUUGACAUCUCCUGAAUUACUCUUAAUCGAGGAAGUCCCUUCGGGGACAGGAAGACAGGUGG